GGUAGCUCAGAAGAGUAGAGCGCUUGCCUGUUAAGCAAGAUGUCGUGGGUUCGAGCCCCACCCUUCCCGCCA
rnacentral:tRNA from 1 species